rnacentral:snRNA from 1 species
ACCACGCAAUGGAGAAUCUGUAGCCA